GAUGAACGCUAGCGACAGGCCUAACACAUGCAAGUCGAGGGGCAUCAGGGAAGUAGCUUGCUACUUUUGCUGGCGACCGGCGCACGGGUGAGUAACGCGUAUGCAACCUACCUACUACAGGGGGGAUAGCCCGGAGAAAUUCGGAUUAAUACCGCAUAAAACAGGGGUUCCGCAUGGGAAUAUUUGUUAAAGAUUUAUCGGUAGUAGAUGGGCAUGCGUUCCAUUAGCUAGUUGGUAAGGUAACGGCUUACCAAGGCAACGAUGGAUAGGGGAACUGAGAGGUUGAUCCCCCACACUGGUACUGAGACACGGACCAGACUUCUACGGGAGGCAGCAGUGAGGAAUAUUGGUCAAUGGACGAGAGUCUGAACCAGCCAAGUCGCGUGAAGGAAGACGGUUCUAUGGAUUGUAAACUUCUUUUGUACUGGGGUAAAACUGCCACGUGUGCAUUUUGCAAGUACAGUACGAAUAGCAUCGGCUAACUCCGUGCCAGCCGCCGC
rnacentral:rRNA from 1 species